rnacentral:tRNA from 1 species
UCCCUCGUGGUCCAAUGGCUAGGACUCCACUCUCUAAAUGCAGAAGUCCGGGUUCAACUCCUGGUGGGGAAA